rnacentral:lncRNA from 1 species
GCGCAAAGGGUAUCUCCUGAGGUAAAGCUUUAGAGUUCACUACACGCUAAACCACCAUGUGAGGGUGAACUCAACCAACGCUAAGGAACGGCUAUGCUUUUAAACGUAAAAAUGUGUUUUAAGCGUAUAUGAACUUUUCUUUAACAGCCUUGGCGGACUUGGUUGGAUGCCCCGGCCAAGGUAUCCCCGAGAAUGAGUUUUGGCAUGAGCCAAAUUUUUAAGAAAUUCAUAAGCCAUGUUGAUUAUUUGAGUGAAA